AGCGCAAUAGCUUAGUUGGUAAAGCACUUGUCUAGCGAAUAAGGGUCGUGAGUUCAAAUCUCACCUGAGCUG
rfam:Aedes albopictus isolate Foshan contig175922, whole genome shotgun sequence.